CAGUCGCCACGGGAAUACGAAGGGGGCUAGCGUUGCUCGGAAUGACUGGGCGUAAAGGGCGCGUAGGCGGUUUGUACAGUUGGAUGUGAAAUUCCUGGGCUUAACCUGGGGGCUGCAUUCAAUACGUGCAGGCUUGAGUGGGGAAGAGGGUCGUGGAAUUCCCAGUGUAGAGGUGAAAUUCGUAGAUAUUGGGAAGAACACCGGUGGCGAGGGCGGCGACCUGGUCCUUGACUGACGCUGAGGCGCGAAAGCGUGGGGAGCAAACAGGAUUAGAUACCCCAGUAGUCCCUGUCUCUUAUAC
rnacentral:rRNA from 1 species